UACAGAGGGGGCAAGCGUUGUUCGGAAUUACUGGGCGUAAAGGGCGCGUAGGCGGCCUGCUAAGUCGAACGUGAAAUCCCUGGGCUCAACCCAGGAACUGCGUCCGAUACUGGUUGGCUUGAAUCCGGGAGAGGGACGUGGAAUUCCAGGUGUAGCGGUGAAAUGCGUAGAUAUUCGGAAGAACACCAGUGGCGAAGGCGGCUCACUGGACUGGUAUUGACGCUGAGGUGCGAAAGCGUGGGGAGCAAACAGG
rnacentral:rRNA from 1 species